rnacentral:rRNA from 1 species
GACGAACGCUGGCGGCGUGCCUAAUACAUGCAAGUAGAACGCUGAAGGAGGAGCUUGCUUCUCUGGAUGAGUUGCGAACGGGUGAGUAACGCGUAGGUAACCUGCCUGGUAGCGGGGGAUAACUAUUGGAAACGAUAGCUAAUACCGCAUAAGAGUAGAUGUUGCAUGACAUUUGCUUAAAAGGUGCAAUUGCAUCACUACCAGAUGGACCUGCGUUGUAUUAGCUAGUUGGUGGGGUAACGGCUCACCAAGGCGACGAUACAUAGCCGACCUGAGAGGGGGAUCGGCCAAACUGGGAAUGAGACACGGCCCAGACUCCUACGGGAGGCAGCAGUAGGGAAUCUUCGGCAAUGGACGGAAGUCUGACCGAGCAACGCCGCGUGAGUGAAGAAGGGUUUCGGAUCGUAAAGCUCUGUUGUAAGAGAAGAACGAGUGUGAGAGUGGAAAGUUCACACUGUGACGGUAUCUUACCAGAAAGGGACGGCUAACUACGUG